GGGUUUCAGAUCUAUGAAGCAACAAUGAGAUUAAGCUUUGAUUAGAUGAAGGGCCCUUUGAUUCACUCGACACUGGACUCGCCGCACAAACGCCGUUGCCAGGAAAUGGAAACUUACAGGUAUUUAGAGAAAGACUGAAGGGAGAUAGACUGAGAGCUGUUCCGAGAAAUGUCCAGAGAGACAGAAAGGAGAGACAGACGUAGCAUAGAGACUCUGUGCCUCACUCCGUCCCUGAGACCCUAACUUGUGACGCUGUCAUGUCCACGGGUUGGGCUCUCGGGAGCAGGGAGGGGCGCUCUGUCCCAGUCCUACACUCUUAAACACCGCACAGGAGAAGAGAGAUCAAAUGAAAGGAGCGAGAGGAGAGACAGAGAAUGAGGGAGAGAGCGAAGGAGGGAGAGUGAGAGAAUGGGGUUAUCGGGACGCAAUGUCGGAGGGUUAGAAGAUGGCCGGACGCUCGGUCGUGUGACAUUACAGAGGAAAAUAUUGGGUCGGAGCUAGCAACUCUUGGGUUGUGCCAUGCUAGUGUCAUAGUUAAUCACUCUGUCUCUGCUAUACUAGUGUCCAUGUUAGCCCCCAUGGGCUGAGCUAUGCUAGUGUUCAUCUUAGCCACCCUGGGCUAUAUUAUGCUAGUGUCCAUGUUAGCCACCCUGGGCUAUGCCAUGCUAGGGUCAUUGUUAGCCACUCUGGGCUAUGCUAUGCAAGUGUCAUAGUUUAUCACCCUGGGCUAUGCUAUGCUAUGCUAGUGUCUAUGUUAGCCCCUCUGGGCUAUACUAUAUUAGUGUCUAUGUUAGCCCCUCUGGGCUAUACUAUUCAUAUGUCCAUAUUAGCCACCCUGGACUACACUAAUGUUCACAAGAGGUGAACACAUGCUGUCUGGUUUUUGCCACCUCUAAAUCUAGUACUCCAGUACGCCUUCACUGAACCUGUGUUUCCGUCCUUGGUUCCUCCCUGACUGGGCCUCCCGAAGGCCGUUUGCACAUCCUGCCUUCUAACUUGAGAGCAACACAAAGUACUGUGGAGAGCGUGAACAUGAAAGCUCACUCUACCGUCUAGAGUUGGCUUAGACCCCUUUAUUGUCCCUGGUCGCCUCUGUGGGUUGCAGCUGUCUGCUGAGGGAGUUGCUGUAUUGGGAAGGAGGAUAGGUUACAGGUUCACACGAGGACCCUGUAGUUAAGGUGGACUUGGAGACUUUUUCCUGCUUGGAUGAGGUGGGCUGAGGUCUGAAACUCUCUCACCAUCUGCUCAAGUUGAUACCCAGAGCUAUGGACAUUUCUGGAAAAUCUCUGGAACCUUUCUGGAUCCUUCUGAAAAAUUCUAGCUUCUCUAAGUGUCUUUCCUGUCUACUGGUUU